CCUACGGGAGGCAGCAGUGGGGGAUAUUGCACAAUGGGGGGAACCCUGAUGCAGCGACGCCGCGUGGGUGAAGAAGCGCCUCGGCGCGUAAAGCCCUGUCAGCAGGGAAGAAAAUGACGGUACCUGAAGAAGAAGCCCCGGCUAACUACGUGCCAGCAGCCGCGGUAAUACGUAGGGGGCAAGCGUUAUCCGGAUUUACUGGGUGUAAAGGGGGCGCAGACGGCGAUGCAAGCCAGGAGUGAAAGCCCGGGGGCCAACCCCGGGACUGCUCUUGGAACUGCGUGGCUGGAGUGAAGGAGGGGCAGGUGGAAUUUCUGGGGUAGCGGUGAAAUGCGGAGAUAUCCGGAGGAACCCCGGUGGCGAAGG
rnacentral:rRNA from 1 species